GCCAAUCAGAGAGCAGCACUACUGAAAUAGAACUCCCAGGAGGUAACAGCGUGUCACACAUGUGAUGUCAUAACCAUUGUCCACCAAAGAGCAGCACUGAGCAGAAAUAACACUGCUCCUGUUCAUUCUUCAUCAGAAAGGGGCCGGUGCUGGACACUGUGUAGGGACGAGGGAAUGCAAAGUCAUACACAUGACUGUGACUGAUGCACUAUUUCCAGGACAUGGAGUAGCAUUUCCGGACCUACAGCAAGACGUUGGAUGAAGGCAUAGCCCCAGAAAUAACACUGCUCCUGUUCAUCAGUGAGGGGCCGGUGCUGGACACUGUGUAGGGACGAGGGAAUGCAAAGUCAUGCACAUGACUGUGACUGAUGCACUAUCUCCAGGACAUGGAGUAGCAUUUCCGGACCUACAGCAAGACGUUGGAUGAAGGCAUAGCCCCAGAAAUAACACUGCUCAUGUUCAUCAGUGAGGGGCCGGUGCUGGACACUGUGUAGGGACACGGGAAUGCAAAGUCAUGCACAUGACUGUGACUGAUGCACUAUUUCCAGGACAUGGAGUAGCAUUUCGGGACCUACAGCAAGACGUUGGAUGAAGGCACAGGCCUAGGAAUCAUGCACAUACACAGAAACAUUUGCCCAAAUUAUAGAGGUAACCUCCUUUAGUAUGCCCAGAGGAAGGGCAAUACAGUAGCCAUGGAUUCCCUACAGGUUUCCUCCCCUCUGGAGGUUUUUCCUGUCCUGAGUAUUAGUUACUGUACGCUCUUUGUGAGUGAUGGGAGGUUACAAAAAAUCCCCUACACAAACAUUUUAAUAAAUUAUAAAUAAAGUUCCACUUUUUUUA